GAGGGCAUAAACCAAAUAGUGACCGGAGAAUUGGUGUCUCUCUCAGAGCAAGAGCUCGUCGACUGUGACACGUCCUACAACGCCGGAUGCAAUGGCGGUCUCAUGGACUACGCCUUCGAGUUCAUUAUCCUAAACGGCGGCAUUGACACUGAAUCCGACUACCCUUACAAAGCAUAUGACCAAAAAUGCAACGUUGCCCUGGUCAGUCCAAAAUUUUCAAUGCCAAUCCCCUAUUUAUACUCUUGUAGGGUAAUAUUUCAUUUUUUCUAACGUCUUGCUUUGUUGCACUAUAAUUUUGCAGGAGAAAAAUACGGUUGUUAGCAUUGACGGGUACGAAGAUGUUCCGUCCUACGACGAGAACGCAUUGAAGAAAGCAGUUGCACACCAACCCGUUAGCGUGGCCAUUGAAGCCGGCGGCUUGGCCUUACAACUCUACCAGUCGGGUGUUUUCACUGGUGAGUGCGGAUCAGCAUUGGACCACGGUGUCGUUGCCGUCGGGUAUGGCACUGAAAACGGCACAGACUAUUGGUUGGUGAGGAACUCGUGGGGCACCAACUGGGGAGAAAGCGGAUAUUUUAA
rnacentral:lncRNA from 1 species